rnacentral:lncRNA from 1 species
AUAAUAAGUCAGGUAGGAAAAAUGUGCAGAGUCCAGCUUAUGGAGAGCUUUGUAGCUAGGAUAAGGAAAUUGGAUUUUAUUUUUAUUUAUUUAUUUAUUUAUUUAUUUUUUGAGAAGAAGUCUCACUCUGUCACCCAGGCUGGAGUGCAGUGGUGUGAUCUCAGCUCAUUGCAACCUCCGCCUCCCAGGUUCAAGUGAUUCUCCUGCCUCAGCCUCCCGCAUAGCUGGGAUUACAGGCAUGCACCACCACGCCAGCUAAUUUUUGUAUUUUUAGUAGAGACAGAGUUUCACCAUGUUGGCCAGGCUGGUCUUGAACUCCUGACCUCACGUGAGCCAACUGCCUGGGCCUCCCAAAGUGCUACUGAGAAGACCUUGAAAGCUAUUAAGCAAGGAAGGUGACAUGAACUGAUCUGAAUUUUAAAAGAUCACUAACUUUGAGUAGAAAAUGGAUGGUGUAGGGGUCGUAGAAUGGAAGUAGGCAGGUCAGUUGAGGAGGUCAUUGUAGAGAGAUGUUAGAUGAUGAUGGCUUAGACUAGGACAAUUGAAGUAGAAAUAGAGAGAAGUGGACAGCUACAUGGUGUUUUUUGUGGAAAUAGAGUCAAUAAGACUUUCUGCAGGGUUGGGGGGAGUCACAGAAAGGGCUAUCAGCAAUGACUUUCAGAUUUUUUCAUGAAUUGAGUUAGAAAAGAUUAAGGGAGAAGCAGACUUAGGUAGGGCAGGUCAAAUGAAGAGUUCUGCUUUGUCCAUGUUAAGUACCCGUUAGACAUCCAAGAGGAAUUGUCAGGUAGGAGCUACAUUUAUGAGUCUGGCAUUCCAGAGAGAGGUCAGGGCUGGAGAUAAAGAUAAAUAAAGAUUUUGGAAUCAAUAACGUAUAGGUCUCACCACCCCUUUCCACUCACACCUCCAUCCCUCUGUGCUCUCUUGCGUUUCCCCCAACAGUCCUCUCUCAAGCUAUUUUCUUACAGCUUCACAUUUCUUCCAGACCAGGGAGUCUUCCCCAAUUUUGUCAUUCUCUGGAAACCUCUCUGUUAUGGAACCUGCCCAUACCACCUUUACUCCUCAGCCUUGCAAUUGUUGCUUUUCAUUUAUGUAUGAAAACAUGCAAUUACCCAGAUAAACUGAAAGGGAUGAGCAGGGGUGGGGGCAGAUUUGGAUACUAAGAGGAGCUGAUGAAGCUCCUCUUCAGAUUUGGAUCGGCUCUGAAGUCACUGCUAAGUGGUGGGGACGGUGGAGCCUGAAAAGAAAAUGGAAUGGGGAGUUAGCACACGAGUGGGUUUGUUGCUACUCUCUUUGAGGCCAAAAGGAUUUUUUGGUACCUUUCUUAGGGAUAUCAUAGUUUGAGAUACCAUGAAAGAUGUUCAGGCAGAGCCUUUUCAACGAAAUCACCUUGCUGUGGUCUUCACAGAGUCUAGUUAAUAGAAGUUUUGCACUGGCUGGGUGUGGUGGCUCACUCCUGUAAUCCCAGCACUUUGGGAGGCUGAGACGGGCGGAUCACUUGAGCCCAGGAGUUCGAGACCAGCCCUGGCAAUAUGGUGAGUUCUUGUCUCUACAGAAAACAACAAUUUAAAAAAAAUAAAUAGGCAUGGUGGCACACCCCUGUAGUCCCAGCUACUUGGGAAGCUAUAGUGGGAGGAUCGCUUGAGCCUGGGAGGUCAGUGAGCCAUGAUGGUGCCACUGCACUCCAGCCUGGGUGACAGAA